UGGACCAUGGUGUAAUUGGUAACACGACAGUUUUUGGCGCUGUCUUUCUGAGUUCGAGCCUCGGUGGUCCAA
rnacentral:tRNA from 1 species